rnacentral:rRNA from 1 species
UACGUAGGGGGCUAGCGUUGUCCGGAAUCAUUGGGCGUAAAGAGCGUGUAAGCGGCCCGGUAAGUCCGCUGUGAAAGUCGGGGGCUCAACCCUCGAAUGCCGGUGGAUACUGUCGGGCUAGAGUGCGGGAAGAGGCGAGGUGGAAUUCCUGGUGUAGCGGUGAAAUGCGCAGAUAUCAGGAGGAACACCAAUUGCGAAGGCAGCUCGCUGGGACGUAACUGACGCUGAGACGCGAAAGCGUGGGGAGCAAACAGG